AGAGGGACUCUCUAACCUGAGUACACAUUUGAAACAUCUGAGGGCUUUGAAACAUACCUGCUCCUGGACCACCUGCUGAACCAAUUAAAUCAGAAUUUCUGUUGUGAAGAUCUCCACGUGAGUUUAAGCUUUCCUGCUCAACUGUUAGUUCCAUGAAGGCAACAGCCAUGCCUGCUUCGUUCACUGAAAUAUCUUCGUUUCCUAACACACAGAAAGUCAUCAUUUUUUGACGGAUGAAAGAAUGGAUGAAUGCCUAGUCUUGGAGACAUCUACUUGCAAUAAAGGUUAGAUGAAGGAAAUGGAUGCCAGUGGGAGAUUUGUGGAUCUAUUUCACCAGAUUUCACUCUGCUGACUCAGCAAAAUGGUCCCCGAAGAAAGUGAAGAAACAGAGGCAAAGGGAGCAUAAGCAAUUUUCCAAAGGCCAUACAACAUGUAAGUGGCUGAGCCAAGACUGAAAUCACCAGGUUCUUAACCACUAGGCCAUAUUGCAUUGGAGUGUUGCCUCCUGGAGUAAGACUAGGCUAAAAGCUUCAUAGAAACCU
rnacentral:lncRNA from 1 species